GCGGAUGUGAUGGAAUUGGUAGACAUGCAAGAUUUAGGUUCUUGUGCUUAGGCGUGUGGGUUCGAGUCCCUUCAUCCGCA
rnacentral:tRNA from 1 species